rnacentral:rRNA from 1 species
GAUGAACGCUGGCGGCGUGCCUAAUACAUGCGAGUCGAGCGAACAGACGAGGAGCUUGCUCCUCUGACGUUAGCGGCGGACGGGUGAGUAACACGUGGAUAACCUACCUAUAAGACUGGGAUAACUUCGGGAAACCGGAGCUAAUACCGGAUAGUAUAUUGAACCGCAUGGUUCAAUAGUGAAAGACGGUUUUGCUGUCACUUAUAGAUGGAUCCGCGCCGCAUUAGCUAGUUGGUAAGGUAACGGCUUACCAAGGCAACGAUGCGCAGCCGACCUGAGAGGGUGAUCGGCCACACUGGAACUGAGACACGGUCCAGACUCCUACGGGAGGCAGCAGUAGGGAAUCUUCCGCAAUGGGCGAAAGCCUGACGGAGCAACGCCGCGUGAGUGAUGAAGGUCUUCGGAUCGUAAAACUCUGUUAUUAGGGAAGAACAAAUGUGUAAGUAACUAUGCACGUCCUGACGGUACCUAAUCAGAAAGCCACGGCUAACUACGUG